rnacentral:rRNA from 1 species
CACGAACCGUACGAACGUUAUUCGGAAUUACUGGGCUUAAAGGGUUUGUAGGCGGCCUUGUAAGUCAGGUGUGAAAUCCCUCGGCUCAACCGAGGAAUAGCGCUUGAUACUGCAAGGCUUGAGGGAGACAGGGGGUAAGCGGAACUGAUGGUGGAGCGGUGAAAUGCGUUGAUAUCAUCAGGAACACCGGGUGGCGAAAGCGGCUUACUGGGUCUCUUCUGACGCUGAGGAACGAAAGCUAGGGGAGCGAACGGG